rnacentral:rRNA from 1 species
GAGGAUGGCCAGCCACAUUGGGACUGAGAAACGGCCCAGACUCCUACGGGAGGCAGCAGUGGGGAAUCUUGCGCAAUGGGCGAAAGCCUGACGCAGCGACGCCGCGUGGGGGAUGACGGGUUUCGGCUUGUAAACCCCUGUUGCCCGGGACGAACUUCUCCUUUCGAGGAGAUUGACGGUACCGGGUGAGGAAGCACCGGCUAACUCUGUGCCAGCAGCCGCGGUAAUACAGAGGGUGCGAGCGUUGUCCGGAAUCACUGGGCGUAAAGGGCGCGUAGGUGGCCCGACAAGUCAGUGGUGAAAGCUCGAUGCUUAACAUCGAGUCGGCCACUGAUACUGUGGGGCUGGAGCACUGUAGAGGCUCAUGGAAUUCCGGGUGUAGCGGUGGAAUGCGUAGAGAUCCGGAAGAACACCGGUGGCGAAGGCGGUGAGCUGGGCAGUAGCUGACACUGAGGCGCGACAGCGUGGGGAGCAAACAGGAUUAGAUACCCUGGUAGUCCACGCCGUAAACGAUGGACACUAGAUGCGUGGGGGAGCGACCCUCUGAGUGCCGUCGCUAAC